rnacentral:rRNA from 1 species
AACGCGAAGAACCUUACCUGGGCUCGAAGCGCAGUGGACUGGGGUAGAAAUAUCCCUUUCCCGCAAGGGACUGCUGCGGAGGUGCUGCAUGGCUGUCGUCAGCUCGUGUCGUGAGAUGUUGGGUUAAGUCCCGCAACGAGCGCAACCCUUAUCCCUAGUUGCUACCGGGUCAAGCCGAGCACUCUAGUGAAACUGCCUCGGAUAACGAGGAGGAAGGUGGGGAUGACGUCAAGUCCUCAUGGCCUUUAUGUCCAGGGCUACACACGUGCUACAAUGGUCGGUACAAACCGUCGCAAACCCGCGAGGGGGAGCUAAUCGGAAAAAGCCGACCUCAGUUCGGAUUGGAGUCUGCAACUCGACUCCAUGAAGCUGGAAUCGCUAGUAAUCGCGGAUCAGAACGCCGCGGUGAAUACGUUCCCGGGCCUUGUACACACCGGCUAC